GGUGCUCCUGUGCCUCGGCAGUGCUGCAGGCAGGAGGUAGAAGGCCUCUGGCCGCGCCAACAAGGUGCUGGGUCUGGGGCCACAUCCACCCCAAACAUGCAGGACACAGCAAGGGCCCCGUCUGGACACAUGGGGUCACCCAGCUCCACCGCUUUCACUGUGGACCCCCCCCCCCCCCCGCCGCCUGCACAGGGCUCUCUGGGGGGCACUUUUGCUGCGGGUGGGCAUCUGACUCUGCUUUCUGCCAGGCAGCUGUGGGUGGUGACGCAGCCGCUGGGGAGGCCCUGAUGCCGCUUCCCAAGUAGGCCAGAAGUGUGGCCAGGGCCCCAGCGGCCCCACCCGGUGGCACCCGUCUCUCCAGACCCACCCAGCACCCAAGUGCCGAGUGAUAUCCUCGUCCCGGACUCCCCGAGGUCUGAAGGCAGAGACAAGCUGCUGCACGGUCACACCCCUGGGGGGCCCUGCGGGCGAGGGACCCCCAGCUGGCUCCAAACCAGCUUUUGAAUGAGACCCUCAGACGGCUGCGUGUGACGUGACCCACGAGGCCGGGCUCUGACGACUCUCCUCAUGCCCUUGUCCUCGCCUCCUACUUCAAAACACCGCUUCUUCGGGCUGCCCAUGCCCGUGCUGUGGACGGCCCGCGGCCUGGCCGGCCGGGGGCACGGUGGGCUGGAGUGUGGUCCCGUAACCAAAAGGUCGCGGGGCUGAUCCCCAGUCCGGACACGUGUCAUCCCUGGUCAGGGGGGCGUGGACAGGAGGCGGCCAGCGGAUACUCCUCUCUCUUGUUGCUGUUUCUUUCCCUUCCUCUCUCUCUAAAACAGCGAUGAGAAAAACGGCCUCGGGUGAGGACCGAACCAGAACAACUGAACGGUCCGUUAUCUUUCAGAGAGAAAUGUGCGUGUGUCCUACCCGUCUGCCGGCACGGCACCCCCUCCCCGAGUCGUUUUCCAUCAGCCAAAGAACACCCUUUCCCAUGUCUGCCGGCGACGAGGUCUAGCAGCUCCGUCGACGAGAGUUUUAUUUUGCCUUCAUCUUUGAAGAGUGUCUAUGCUGCGUGUUGGGUCGUGCUUGACAGCUCUCAGCUCGUCGCCGGGGACCCGCCCCGUCGCCAGGCCGGCCUUGGUUCUCACCCACCUGGCCCACUGCCUGAUGUGUCUCUUUUCUUCGGCUGCUUUGAAGGUUUUACCUUUUUCACUGAUGUUCAGAAAUUUGACCACGAGGUCCCCUGGGAGGCACGCAUGUGUUUAUCCUGCCAGUGGGGUAAACUUCCUGAAACUCUGAAUUGAGUUUUCAUCAAAUUUAGAAAAAAAUGGGCCAUGAUUUCUUCAGAUACUUUUCUAUCCCCUCCUUCUCCUCCUUUCUAUCCUAAAGGUUUGAAGUAUUUUUAGAAAGGGAGGGAUGGAGGGAGGGAAACACUAAUGUGCGGCCACCUCUCCCACACACCCCCGCCAGGGACCGGGACCACAACCCAGGCACGUGCCCUGACUGAGAAUCGAACCGGGGACCCUUCCGUUCGCAGGCCCGCGCUCAGUCCACCGAACCCCACCAGGCAGGGCUCUUCUCCUGUCCUGCUGAACGGACAGAUGCGACCUGGUCCCCUAGGGGUGUCGUUCUGUCUCCAGCUUCCCCGCUCUGCCUCCCACACCAGGGCUGCGUGGUCGCCUCACCCCACGGGCAGGGCCUUCUUCAUCCGGGCUUCUCACUGCAGGAGGUUUUGUUUGUUUGUUUCUUGUAUUUGAAGUUCUCAUUAUGUACACAUUUUUAAAAAAAUACUUGAAUCUGGCCGUAGGAACUCUCUGAAUGCUGCCGUCCGCUGCCUGGCUCCCCUCCAGGACCCAGGUCCCACCUUCUUGCCCCUCUGCAGGCCGUGAGGCUGAAGUGGGCGUCAGCCUUGUGAACAUGGCCGAACUCCCCUGGCCACGUCCCAGGGCCGGGCCGUGUCCUGGUCGGCAGGGAGCCCCUCUUUCGGUUCCCGCAAGCACCAGCUGUACGCCCUUUCUAAAGGACCAGCCAUCCCAGCGUCAGGAGAAACUACUGUAAUCUGCCGAAAGACAAAAACUUGAAGAGAAAACCCAACACGCUAACUGUGCCUUCGCAGUGCUGGUGGCCCCUUCUGUUCCUCGUGGUCGUGGGGGCGGUGGCUCAGGGGUGAGACCGCAGUCAGGGCAGCGGUCCCUCUGCCGAGCAGCGGCCUGGUGGUGACACUCCUCCGAGCUUCCCGCUGCGUCUGCCUGUGACUGCGGAUGCCUGGCUCUGUGCGUCCGGCCUCCUCACUCAGCUGGUGGCAUUGGGGGGCACUUGUCACCACAGGGAGCCGGUCCCCUGCACACAUGUGGCACAAGGAGCAACGCCUGGCGCUAGAGACGCCCGGCCCAGCCGGCACUGCCUCUCCCCCACGCCGCCCCCUUCAAAAGCUCCUUCUUUGUAAGAGUGGGUGGCCAGUGCCCUGCCCCACCGGCCCGUCCCCAGGGCCUGGGUGGCUGUCCCCCUCGAGACUCGUCUACCUUGCUGCGUCCUAACUCACAGGGAACACACACUGCCUGUGUCCCUGGCCUUCCUGGUCGCCUCUGAAAAGGGCCCAGAACCUGAAGGGCACUCGGUGCCCUCCUGGAUGAACCGCUGAAGCGCGGGGCGGCGGGCCCCCAGCACAGCACCCGGGUGGCCCGUCAGAGGACUGUGCCCCCGGAAGCUGCGUGACCUGUCCACCAGCGUCUCCCCAACAGAACCAAUGAAAAAGGAAUUAAAAAGUGUCGACAAAAAAUAA